rnacentral:rRNA from 1 species
GAUGAACGCUGGCGGUAUGCUUAACACAUGCAAGUCGAACGGUCACUUCGGUUUUAGGGGCGUACGGGUGAGUAACGCGUGGGAAUCUGUCCUUAGGUCGGGGACAACAGUUAGAAAUGACUGCUAAUACCGGAUGUGUCUUUGGUUGAAAGAUUUAUUGCCUGAAAAAGAGCUCGCGUCAGAUUAGCUAGUAGGUGGUGUAAGAGACUACCUAGGCUCCGAUCUGUAGCUGGUCUGAGAGGACGAUCAGCCACACUGGAACUGAGACACGGUCCCGACGCCUGCGGGAGGCAGCAGUGGGGGAUUUAUCGGCAUGGGCGAGAGGCUGACGGGGCACGAGCGCGAGAGCGACGAAGGCUUUGGGGUCGUAAACCACUUUUCUCAAGGAAGAUGAUGACGGUACUUGAGGAAUAAGCACCGGCUAACUCUGUG